AUUGAACGCUGGCGGCAGGCCUAACACAUGCAAGUCGAACGAGUGGCGGACGGGUGAGUAAUGUCUGGGAAACUGCCCGAUGGAGGGGGAUAACUACUGGAAACGGUAGCUAAUACCGCAUACCAUCGGAUGUGCCCAGAUGGGAUUAGCUAGUAGGUGGGGUAACGGCUCACCUAGGCGACGAUCCCUAGCUGGUCUGAGAGGAUGACCAGCCAGACUGGAACUGAGACACGGUCCAGACUCCUACGCGAGGCAGCAUGGGGGAAUAUGGCAGAAUGGGUGCAAGCCUGAGGCAGCCAUGCCGCGUGUAUGAAGAAGGGCUUCGGGUUGUAAAGUACUUUCAGCGGGGAGGCGUUACUCGCAGAAGAAGCCUCGGCUAACUCCGUGCCAGCCGCCGCGGUAAUUC
rnacentral:rRNA from 1 species